AUUACAGGCUGAACCCUAACAACUUUGCAAAGACUGUGAAGACUUUUCAAAAGGUGGAGAAACAAAUAGCACUUUGGGGCAAAGAUUUCAAUCCUUUUGUGGAGAAAAUUAUUGCUGAUGCAUUCUGCCCGUUUCAAAAUAUCCAACUCCAGAUGGAAAAUAUGGAGGAGCGGAUAAAUAAAAAGAUAGAUGCUAUGUCCGUUCUAGAUUUUGCCAAAUUGAUUGAGGAAGUUCGGCGACUCUAGGAGGAUGUUGAUAGGAUACAGCAGUCUACCCUUGAUCCAUUUCAGAUUCCCAAUGAUGAUGAUAAAGGCCUGGUUGAUUUGUUCGGGUGUCCAAUCAAGGACAAAGGUAAGAAGGCAGUGGAGAUGGAUGAGCAAACUGAAAGGGCAACCAGGAAAUCUGCUAAGAGGGAGGAGCAAAAAUACAGAAUGGCAAAAAUGAUACCUCAGGAAAUGGAGAAAUUUCAGAUGGACCGGGCAACUAAAAAGUCAAAGAAGAUAGCUGAGCGAGAGGAGAAAAGGCACUGGGAUGCAGCCGCUGGAGUAUCUACUAGUGUAGCCACCACCAUGAGGGUAAACAUUGUUACCGGUGAGGCCACUGGGGCCUCACCUCAUUUGCAAGACACCUCAGAUGAAUAAGAGGCACACCACAAGUAUUUUCCCUUCCUUUACACUUACAUCAUAUGCAUUGGGGACAAUGCAUUAUUUUGUGCGGGGGUGGGAUUACUUGUACCAUGUGGGGUUAUGUUACCGUUAAUCAUUACCCUAUCAUGUAUUAUCUAGAAAAAUUGGCAUGUUUAGGAUUCUAUUAGUUUAAUUUCAGUUUUUGCAUGGAUAAUAGUACUAUCUAAGUUUAAUUUUAGUUUAAGUAUUAUGUUUUAUUUUUAAGUAUGGUUUCUUGGACAACCUUUCCAUCUAAUGAAUAAAAGUUUAGUUUAUGUUAACACCAGUUUAUAUAUAUGCAUAACAUGUGACUAUGGCAAAGUAUUUGUGCACAUUUGUUAUAUAAUUACUUCUUCUUUUCUUGAUGGUAAAAAUGCUAUGUGGCCAUAUGUGAUUCUGAAACUAGCAUACGAAUGUAAGUGAUUAUAGCCAUAUGUUACCAAUCAUAAGAGUUAAUGGAAUAGGAAUUAAUUGAGUGCUUGUGUGUGUGAGCGUUUGUACAGUUCCUUCAUAUAUGCUACACCUAGAACUUGCCCGGUUCAUUUGUUGUUGUUUUGUUUCUGACUCAAUAAGACAGGGUACUAGGCCUCCUUGUUUUGUUACUUCCCUUAUCCUAAAUAAUGAUCCACCAAAAAUAGUCUAUUCUUAUUGUAAACUUUGUUAAUGUUUGUUUUACACAAAUAAAUUUGGACUCACUCUCUAGUAAGUGUUACCAUUUAGUGUUGGCCCUGGUCCGAUAUCGGACAUUGUGUACUUAAACUUAGGAAAAUAACCUAAGUUGAGGGUGGCUACUACUGAGUAUUGACAAUAUAGGACGUUGAUCCAAGUCAAAUUGUGAGUAAGCAUCCGGACCUGGUCUAGUUAGAUGUCUAAGUAGAUAAUGUGCACCUUAUAGAAGUUGAGGGUGGCUGAAUCUGGUACUUGCAUAAUUUUAAAAAAAAAUUGGUUUGGCUGCUGGGAUGAUGUUGAAAUGACAUAGAUAAAUGAAGCUUUAGUCUUGGUGAGUAGCUACCUAGAAGGGUAAAAGAGAGUGAGUCUAGCCAUGUCGUCCUAAAGAAAUAUCUUCACCAAGCCCAAAACCUCAUUUGUGAUCCUAAAACGUCCUACUUAAUCUUAGCGAGUCAGUUAUAAAGAAACAUUAGAUGAUAUGGGCAAGCUUAUGGGUGUGCAUUAUGUUUGCAACUUCUGUUCUGAGAGUGAGAGUCUUAGGUUCGUCCACAAAUUAAUUAUAUAUAAUGAGAGGUGGAUUUCUUUGGCUGUGAGAGCACGCAAUUUAUCCUUAGACUGCUGAUUCCUUUGGGUAUUGUAUCUAUGGCUAUAAAUAUGCUGAGUAGUAGUUGAUACCAGUUAUAGAUCCUUAUGUGUCAAAGCAUUUAGCCCAAUGGCAGUUGAAUAAUUGUAUAGCUAUGUUGACAUGACUGUUGCCUGUCAUUUUGUUGUUCAUAUGUGCAAAACUGGUGUAAGUUGCUUGAGGACAAGCAGUUGUCUUAAGUUAAGGGUAUUGAUGUUUCGUCUUCCGACGGAACAUCUUAGGCCUUCUUCGUAAGAUAAAUGCAUGUUUUUGAGCAACUAAUAUUGUCUUUGAUAUUGUAUUUAAGUGUUUUCUGGACAAAAUCCAAGUGGGAUGAAUUACUUAAGAAAAUGGGCAAAACCAG
rnacentral:lncRNA from 1 species